rnacentral:rRNA from 1 species
AGUGAACGCUGGCGGUAGGCCUAACACAUGCGAGUCGAACGGCAGCACAGUAAGAGCUUGCUCUUACGGGUGGCGAGUGGCGGACGGGUGAGGAAUACAUCGGAAUCUACUUUUUCGUGGGGGAUAACGUAGGGAAACUUACGCUAAUACCGCAUACGACCUACGGGUGAAAGCAGGGGAUCUUCGGACCUUGCGCGAUUGAAUGAGCCGAUGUCGAAUUAGCUAGUUGGCGGGGUAAAGGCCCACCAGGGCGACGAUCCGUAGCUGGUCUGAGAGGAUGAUCAGCCACACUGGAACUGAGACACGGUCCAGACUCCUACGGGAGGCAGCAGUGGGGAAUAUUGGACAAUGGGCGCAAGCCUGAUCCAGCCAUACCGCGUGGGUGAAGAAGGCCUUCGGGUUGUAAAGCCCUUUUGUUGGGAAAGAAAAGCAGCAGGUUAAUACCCCGCUGUUCUGACGGUACCCAAAGAAUAAGCACCGGCUAACUUCGUG